UUAGCAGCUCUACUGAAAUGUUCUAUCCACAAAACAGACAGCAGCAAUUCAAUCUCCCAGCUUCAUCCUAACUGUGUGCCACAACCCUGACCUGGGAGGAUACCUCUACGGGUGAGAGGGUAGUUCAUCCAGCAUCCUAUUUCAGUUUUUGGCCUCU
ensembl:misc_RNA